UACGUAGGGUGCGAGCGUUAAUCGGAAUUACUGGGCGUAAAGGGUGCGCAGGCGGUUGAGUAAGACAGAUGUGAAAUUCCCGAGCUUAACUCGGGAAUGGCAUAUGUGACUGCUCGACUAGAGUGUGUCAGAGGGAGGUGGAAUUCCACGUGUAGCAGUGAAAUGCGUAGAUAUGUGGAAGAACACCGAUGGCGAAGGCAGCCUCCUGGGACAUAACUGACGCUCAGGCACGAAAGCGUGGGGAGCAAACAGG
rnacentral:rRNA from 1 species